GGUCAGCGGUUUGCCUUCUGGACUGAUGAGGCCAGACACUUGCUCCAAGGAGCUCUUCAGCCAGUGUACAGAGUGCUAUCUCAGAGGAGAUCCACAUUCAGGCUGUCGAUGACCACACUGCAGAGGGUGUACUCAACGGGAAGCCCUCUAAGUGGUCUCAUAAGCUAACCUCUUCCUGAGUGCCUGUCUACCUCGACAGUGAGGAACAACUGUCCUGUUUGCCUGUCUGAGAGGAGUGCUGCAUAGGACACCAACACAACUGAGCUUCACAGAUGAAGUGCAGAGGAGGCUGAGCAGGUCUUCCUUUCUGGUCCGGAUUAUCAUUACAGGAGUUGAAGCCUACAG